rnacentral:tRNA from 1 species
GGAAAUGCAACUUAAUGGUAGAGUGCUUGUCUAGCAUGCAUGAUGUCCUGGGUUCAAUUCCCCAGUACCA